rnacentral:lncRNA from 1 species
UUAUUUUCUCAUUUAAUGGGAUGUUUGUACAUUAAAAUGGUGUGACCGUCCACUUGUAUCAAAUAAUAAAAAAAAUACUUAUUUUUAAAUUUUUUAUAAACUUAUUUUAGGCAAGCUUUUUAACCGGACAAUCCUUCAAGGUUGUAAGAAAAAUUAAGAGGAAAUAGUGCAUCCAUCUCCUCUCCAUGUUCUCUCCCUCUAUACACAUUCAGUUUGCUUUGAAUCACCCCUUAACACACCCGCAUAAAAGUCUAACCUUAAUCCAUCUCUUGCCAAAUGCCAAUUGACUUAGGUAAAUUUUUUCAAAAAGUUUCACAUGAACCUUCUGCGCC